ACCUGGGAUGUUCGCGCGUCGGGAUUGCCCUGAGCCGAUAUUACCUAGACUGGGGUGUCUUCUUGGCUUAUGUUGAGCACGCCUAUACUGGGUGUUAAUUGCUUGCAAUUGGCAUUCAGUCCCUUGGAAGCCUUUUAAGUCACAGGCGUCCCACCUUGAACACUCUGGUUCAAGGAGCUGAAACCUGAUAACGGCAUUUCUGGG
rnacentral:other from 1 species